UACGAAGGGGGCUAGCGUUGCUCGGAAUCACUGGGCGUAAAGCGCACGUAGGCGGCUUCUUAAGUCAGGGGUGAAAUCCUGGAGCUCAACUCCAGAACUGCCUUUGAUACUGAGAAGCUUGAGUCCGGGAGAGGUGAGUGGAACUGCGAGUGUAGAGUUGAAAUUCGUAGAUAUUCGCAAGAACACCAGUGGCGAAGGCGGCUCACUGGCCCGGUACUGACGCUGAGGUGCGAAAGCGUGGGGAGCAAACAGG
rnacentral:rRNA from 1 species